rnacentral:tRNA from 1 species
GCGCCCGUAGCUCAUUUGGAUAGAGUACUUGGCUUCGAACCAAGGGGUAGCAGGUUCAAAUCCUGCCGGGCGCACCA